CCUACGGGGUGCAGCAGUGAGGAAUAUUGGUCAAUGGACGCAAGUCUGAACCAGCCAUGCCGCGUGCAGGAAGACGGCUCUAUGAGUUGUAAACUGCUUUUGUACGAGGGUAAACGCAGAUACGCGUAUCUGUCUGAAAGUAUCGUACGAAUAAGGAUCGGCUAACUCCGUGCCAGCAGCCGCGGUAAUACGGAGGAUUCAAGCGUUAUCCGGAUUUAUUGGGUUUAAAGGGUGCGUAGGUGGUUGGAUAAGUUAGAGGUGAAAUCCCGCGGCUCAACUUCGGAAUUGCCUCUGAUACUGUUCGGCUUGAGAGUAGUUGCGGUAGGCGGAAUGUAUGGUGUAGCGGUGAAAUGCUUAGAGAUCAUACAGAACACCGAUUGCGAAGGCAGCUUACCAAGCUACUUCUGACGUUGAGGCACGAAAGCGUGGGGAGCAAACAGGAUUAGAUACCCGUGUAGUC
rnacentral:rRNA from 1 species